GUCAGAACGUUCCAGAUGGCUGGGCUGCACCGGCUCCCUCGGAAGCUGGAAACUGCCGUGCCGAACAGAGAGGCUGCGUGAAGGGCCGGAAACGCAAGUCGCCGGCAUUUCUGUCUCCUUGUGGGCAUGACGAGGUGGUGCGGGCUGCUGCUUGUGCCAGGUGUCCUCACCCCUGCUUGAAGGGGUGAAGUGACUGUGCGUCAGAGACCCCGAAAACAGCCACCAUUUCCAAAGCUACGUUUCUAUGCAAUGGAGGAAAUUCACGUGAGCCUGACAGUGCGUCCGCUGUCCGCGACGGAUUUUCAGGCCCCUGUUGCAGAUGUGAAAAUGUGAUGCUUGUCCAAGAUCACCCAGCUAGGGAGUGAGGACCUGGGAGCAGCACUUCUGAAGCAACAGGAAAAGCCAAAGCCAUCUGGAGAGGGUACCUUGGUCACUUGAGCGGAGGGAAGAGAGAGGUCAGGCUCCCCGGCAGAGGGGGCAGGAGGCGGAAUGGAGCACAGAUGCCUCGUCAAACCCUCGCCCUCGGGAGUCGGCCGGAGCCUGGGGGACUCGCUCAUCCACGGCUGUGGGGGCCUUUGCGCGACUCCGGGGGCAGAGGGACCGGGGUGGUUCCUUGGGCACUCCUGUCGUGCCUGCCUCUAGGGCUGUGUCAGGAGGUCUGGCCUUAACUCUCAAGGAACAGGUACCCUUUGCAGUCUGUCCCCAGAGGGCAUGGUUGUGCCUGGGUGGGUGAACUGGACACGGGGGUCGGGAGAACAUGCUUGUCCUGGUGCCCGGGAACCCCAAGCAGAGGACCCGGCAUAGAGCUGGGCGGACGGCAGAACCGCACCCUGAGCGCCCACUGCCCGCGGGCGCCGAGGAGGCCGCUGGAGGACAGUGUUUCCUCACGGACGUAGGUGCACUUACCUAAUGUUUCUUGGAGAAGGAAAUUGAAGCUGAGAGGAUCUAGUGACCUGUGAGAGCUGCAGAACCCAGGCAGGGCUGGGACAUUUCCAGAAACAUCUUCCAGGAAAGGAAAUGAAUAUGAAUGCACCAAGACUGCUCUGGUUAUAAGUGACAGAAACCCGGAUGAGAGCGGCAGACAGAGCGGGUUCAUUGGUCUUGAAGCUGGAUGCAGGCACAGCUGGGUUCAGGGGUUCACAUGUUUCCUAGGGCCCCUCUCUCUGCUGAGUUCUUCAUUCUCCGCUGGGCCUCGGCGGCCAGGGAAGGUGAACCCCAUGGGCUUCCUACCCGUGUCCCACAGGGGUGCAAGCGUCGUGGGGAAAAACACCAUUUGCCAGUCUUCCACAAAACAAAAUUCAAAGAACUGAGUUUCGUUGUUGUGUGUUGGGCGAUGUGUCCGGCCCCAAACCAGUCCUUGGACGGGAGGCAUGGGGAUGUGUUAACUGGCCAGAUGCGUCACGGGCUAUUUCUGAAUCUGGGAGUGGGGGGUCCCCCACAUCAAUCAAUAGAUUUAGAAUAGGCGACUCCUCAAGGAAGCUUGGAGAACAGUUGUGUGAGGAGGAGACACGGAUGCGGGCCCAGCCACGUGACACACAGCUGUCACAGAAACAAACAGCGCGCAAAUCCUCGCACGGCUAGCUGUGAGCCCGGGUCGCACCACGUGAGCCCUACUCUCCAGCGCAUCUUCUUCAGCUCCGUGCAAGGUGGACGUUCUUUUUUUUUUUUUUUUUAAAGAUUUUAUUUAUUUA